rnacentral:lncRNA from 1 species
UUGUCCUCCACUCAAGAAAGUGUCUUAACCCAUUCCUUCAUGCUACAGGAAGCAACAGCGGGCAGAUGAGUUUCACUCUUCACCGGAGACCCCAGAGCUGGACCAGAACGCACUGAGCCACAAAGACAAGGAUCCUUUCUCCUAGUCCCUAAUCCAUGCGUACUUCCAUCUGACACACAUGGCUGCUGAUGGAUUCCUCCUCUGGGAACCCCAGUGGCCGGCGAUGUGGCCUCCAGGCUCAGGGAUAACCAUCUUGCCUAAAC